rnacentral:rRNA from 1 species
AGUGAACGCUGGCGGUAGGCCUAACACAUGCAAGUCGAACGGCAGCACAGUAAGAGCUUGCUCUUACGGGUGGCGAGUGGCGGACGGGUGAGGAAUACAUCGGAAUCUACUUUUUCGUGGGGGAUAACGUAGGGAAACUUACGCUAAUACCGCAUACGACCUACGGGUGAAAGCAGGGGAUCUUCGGACCUUGCGCGAUUGAAUGAGCCGAUGUCGGAUUAGCUAGUUGGCGGGGUAAAGGCCCACCAAGGCGACGAUCCGUAGCUGGUCUGAGAGGAUGACAAGCGGCACGGGAACUGAGACACGGGCGAGACUCCUACGGAGGGCGCCAGUGGGGAGUGUUGAACAAUGGGCGCAAGCUGGAUCAAGCAAUACCGGGUAGGUAAAGAAGGCCUUCGGGUUGUAAAGCCCUUUUGUUGGGAAAGAAAAGCAGCAGGUUAAUACCCCGCUGUUCUGACGGUACCCAAAGAAUAAGCACCGGCUAACUUCGUG